rnacentral:rRNA from 1 species
UACGUAGGGUGCGAGCGUUGUCCGGAAUUAUUGGGCGUAAAGAGCUCGUAGGCGGCCUGUCGCGUCGGUUGUGAAAGCCCGGGGCUUAACCCCGGGUCUGCAGUCGAUACUGGCAGGCUAGAGUUCGGUAGGGGAGAUCGGAAUUCCUGGUGUAGCGGUGAAAUGCGCAGAUAUCAGGAGGAACACCGGUGGCGAAGGCGGAUCUCUGGGCCGAUACUGACGCUGAGGAGCGAAAGCGUGGGGAGCGAACAGG